rnacentral:rRNA from 1 species
ACCCCAUGGAGCUUUACUCCAGUUUGGCACUGGGGUCCGGUGUUGCAUGUACAGGAUAGGUGGGAGGCUGAGAAACGGUAACGUCAGUUGCCGCGGAGCCGCUGUUGGGAUACCACCCUUGUGAUAUUGGGCUUCUAACCAGCCGCCGUAAACCGGCGGUGGGACAAUGCCAGGCGGGGAGUUUGACUGGGGCGGUCGCCUCCGAAAGGGUAUCGGAGGCGCCCAAAGGU